rnacentral:rRNA from 1 species
AUGAGGAGCGGCGAGACCCUCGAUGAGCUCGCCAUGCGCAUGAACGGGAUUGCCAACAAGCUGCGCACGCUCGGCGAGAACCUCGACGAGGUGAAGGUCGUGAAGAAGCUUCUCCGCAUCGUGCCGUCCAAGUAUACCCAGGUAGCUAUUGCCAUUGAACAACUUCUUGAUCUUAAAACUAUGUCCAUGGAAGAGCUUGUGGGAAGGCUCAAAACGGCGGAGGACCGGAGCGACUUGGACGAGGGCGCCAACAACUACGACCAGGGUGGUGGGAGCCGCCUGCUCCUCACGGAGGAGGAGUGGCUUGCUCGCCACCGCAGCGGCACCGGCAAGAAGAAGGGCAACUUCGACAUACGCAAGGUGCGUUGCUACAACUGUCAAGAGUACGGGCAUUACUCCAAGAACUGCACCAAGCCAAGGAAGCAGCGGGCGCUUCUCGCCUACGCGACCGCCGCCGCCGAGCCGGGGCUGCUUUGA